UCCAGACUCCUACGGGAGGCAGCAGUGGGGGAUAUUGCACAAUGGGGGGAACCCUGAUGCAGCGACGCCGCGUGGGUGAAGGAGCGUUUCGGCGCGUAAAGCCCUAUCGGCAGGGAAGAAGGAGGACGGUACCUGACUAAGAAGCCCCGGCUAACUACGUGCCAGCAGCCGCGGUAAUACGUAGGGGGCAAGCGUUAUCCGGAUUUACUGGGUGUAAAGGGGGCGCAGACGGCAGCGCAAGCCAGGAGUGAAAGCCCGGGGCCCAACCCCGGGACUGCUCUUGGAACUGCGCGGCUGGAGUGCAGGAGGGGCAGGCGGAAUUCCUGGUGUAGCGGUGAAAUGCGUAGAUAUCAGGAGGAACACCGGUGGCGAAGGCGGCCUGCUGGACUGCGACUGACGUUGAGGCCCGAAAGCGUGGGGAGCAAACAGGAUUAGAUACCCCUGUAAA
rnacentral:rRNA from 1 species